rnacentral:rRNA from 1 species
AUUGAACGCUGGCGGUAUGCCUAACACAUGCAAGUCGAACGAGGUAGCAAUACCUAGUGGCGGACGGGUGAGGAAUACGUAGGGAUCUGCCCUUAAGUGGGGGAUAACCCGGGGGAAACCCGGAUUAAUACCGCAUGAUCUCGCAAGAGCAAAGAGGGGGGACCGCAAGGCCUCUCGCUUUUUGGCGGAACCUACGUCGGAUUAGCUAGUUGGUGAGGUAAUGGCUCACCAAGGCGACGAUCCGUAACUGGUCUGAGGGGAUGAUCAGUCACACCGGAACUGAGACACGGUCCGGACUCCUACGGGAGGCAGCAGUGGGGAAUAUUGGACAAUGGGCGAAAGCCUGAUCCAGCAAUACCGCGUAGUGUGAAGAAGGCCUUCGG